AUCAUGAGGAUCUCUAAACAAGUGUUGGUGUUUGUUGUUCCUCUGAUAAUGGCUUGGUUGUGUUUGUAUCACUUCAACAACAACACUACCAAAAACACAAACCUUGUUUGGUCUUCACGCAACACCGAUACCAGCACAGCACAGUUCAGUGCCGUCCAACUCCAACCAGGAUUCGAUUUUUUUGUGUUUACGUUGCGAUGGCCGAACGCUUUCUGCGAUACUCCUCCAAGGAGAAUCCCUUGCGACCCAAAUCCUCCGACACACCAAGAAUUCACCAUUCAUGGGCUUUGGCCUGAUUUCAAUUUUAACAAAGCUCCUGAAAAUUGUCUACCCGCUCCUCCUAUCACUGUUAAUGAUCUUGUGGUGUUCCAGCAAGAUCUGCUUGAUUACUGGCCAGACUUGCAGAACGCUCAAAGCUUUCAACAAGCAUCCCAUUCUGGGAACACGAGUGGAACAAGCAUGGAAGCUGCUCUUCAAACAAGUUCGCACCACAACAUUAUCUCAGAAUAACUAUCGAUCUCGCAAAAACGCAUGCUCAAUCCAUCCUGACCAAAUUAAAAGCAGCUGGUAUCAAUCCAGAUGGAAGUACUCCACAUGGUGAAACAGAAAUACUGAAGGCUGUUAAGGAUGCCACAGGACAUGAUGCAUUGGUAACCUUCAAAUUUAAUGCCACAACAAAUCACCGUCUUCUUCAUGAGGUUCGUCUCUGUGUCGAAGAGGAUGGGGUUACACUCCUUGAUUGCAACACUGCUUCCUUUUUUGCUGCUCCUUAACUUUCACGACGUUAAUUUUCUCACACUUUCCAUCACCCAUCGCGGAGGACGCUGCAAAGUCUCUUUUUUUCUACCUGGCUGUGCCAAUCUUGAUGUAUCAUGUUCAAAUCUCUUUAGUGUUUGAUUCAUGUAAUAAAAUAUCUGUUUCCUCCUUUGGUGC